CAAUGAUUCUGAAAUGAGGAGUACCCAAAUUGCAUCCAUGCUUAAAUUCACAUCGUCAAAAGUCUAAUAACAGAGCUUUUGUUUAAUUUCUUCAAAUAUUUUGAACAAUUGGAUAUUAGUCCAUGCUUACUCUUCAUUAUUUUUUAAAUGGAUACUUGUAACAUAUUGUAUUUGCUCAUUUUAAAAAGAUGACGAUUUGAUGACGUCGCAUGGCGACGUUUCAGUACAUUUUUCUUUUUCAGUAAAUACUUAAUCUGUUGAUAAAUACUGUGAACGUUUUGUGCAUAUCUAAAUAGUUUUACCUAUGUUGAAAGAUGUGCUUAGUAUCAAAUCAUAAAAAUACAAAUUGUUUAGUCUCUAGAAAAUCUUGUAAGAUUUUCGCUGCUAGUUUUGCUAAAUAGGUGCAAUUUGGGUACUCGGUGCAAUUUGGGUACCGUUACGUUAUAUAUAAUAUAGUUAAU
rnacentral:lncRNA from 1 species